rnacentral:lncRNA from 1 species
UAGAAUUGGUUUGUUUCAAGGUGGAAGGAUAUGGCAAAGCUGUGUGGAAGGCUUGAAUUGCACAUGGAGAGCCCUGAAUCCCCAUUCCUGCUCUGCCCCAGACUGUGUGGCCGGCUGUUCCCCUUUCCGGACCUCAGGAGAUAGGGCUUGGUAGAGCUUCUAAACUCUAUCUACUUCCAGCCCAGAAAGGCCGUUUGUACAGGUUGACAUGGAUUUUAUUCAACAGACAAGCUGACAUUUAUCAAGAUGCUUUCAAUUACACCAAAAGAAAUAGAAGUCUUCGUCUUAUUGCUGUUUAUGUGGCAGUAUUGUUCUCCUACAAUAAGUUGAUGGAAAUGAGUUGUUUUGUUUUUCAUUUUAGCCAUUUUACAAGUAAGUUUGCUAUUGUUGUUGCUGUUUUUAGAAUAAAAUGAUUUUACCAAUAACAUUGAGUGGCUAUACCUUUCCUUAAUAAUGGGAAAUUUUAUAAAUUUGGCUGCUUAAUGACAUGAUUUAGAAGUUUGCACUCUGCUCACUUUUGAUUUGACCUUGCAAUUACC